rnacentral:rRNA from 1 species
GACGAACGCUGGCGGCGUGCUUAACACAUGCAAGUCGAACGCUGAAGCCCUUUCGGGGGUGGAUGAGUGGCGAACGGGUGAGUAACACGUGGGUAAUCUGCCCUGUACUUCGGGAUAAGCCUUGGAAACGGGGUCUAAUACCGGAUAGGACCUGUCCUCGCAUGGGGGUGGGUGGAAAGUUCCGGCGGUAUGGGAUGAGCCCGCGGCCUAUCAGCUUGUUGGUGAGGUAGUGGCCUACCAAGGCGACGACGGGUAGCCGGCCUGCGAGGGUGGCCGGUCACGGUGCGACUGAGACACGGCCCAGACGCCUACGGGAGGCAGCAGUGGGGAAUCUUGCGCAAUGGGCGAAAGCCUGACGCAGCAACGCAGCGUGGGGGAUGACGGCCGUCGGGUUGUAAACCUCUUUCGACAUCGACGAAGGGGCCCUGUUGUGGGGUUUUGACGGUAGGUGUAGAAGAAGCACCGGCUAACUACGUGCCAGCCGCCGCGGUAA